UAAAAUUCUGUGAUGAGGAGAGUAGGAUAAUUGAUUCUUUUAGCGAGUAAGGAUUUUGGUGUAAGCCUUAUAAGAUAAAUUAUUUGAAAUAGAACCUUUAAGAAGCGCCUGAAAUGAGUAGGGAGAGCCGCAAGAAUUAAUCGCUUGCGUUAUCAAAAUAGAGUGGCAUUUCUUUAUGCAAAUAGAGUGGUACCGCGGAAAAUUGUUAUUGUUCCGUCUCUUAU
rnacentral:ncRNA from 1 species